rnacentral:rRNA from 1 species
CGACCGCUGGCGGCGUGCUUAACACAUGCAAAUCGAACGGAAAGGCCCUGCUUUUGUGGGGUGCUCGAGUGGCGAACGGGUGAGUAACACGUGAGUAACCUGCCCUUGACUUUGGGAUAACUUCAGGAAACUGGGGCUAAUACCGGAUAGGAGCUCCUGCUGCAUGGUGGGGGUUGGAAAGUUUCGGCGGUUGGGGAUGGACUCGCGGCUUAUCAGCUUGUUGGUGGGGUAGUGGCUUACCAAGGCUUUGACGGGUAGCCGGCCUGAGAGGGUGACCGGCCACAUUGGGACUGAGAUACGGCCCAGACUCCUACGGGAGACAGCAGUGGGGAAUAUUGCACAAUGGGCGGAGGCCUGAUGCAGCAACGCCGCGUGCGGGAUGACGGCCUUCGGGUUGUAAACCGCUUUCGCCUGUGACGAAGCGUGAGUGACGGUAAUGGGUAAAGAAGCACCGGCUAACUACGUG